rnacentral:rRNA from 1 species
AUUGAACGCUGGCGGCAUGCUUUACACAUGCAAGUCGAACGGUAACAGGGUGCUUGCACCGCUGACGAGUGGCGAACGGGUGAGUAAUGCGUCGGAACGUGCCGAGUAGUGGGGGAUAACGCAGCGAAAGUUGUGCUAAUACCGCAUACGUACUGAGGUAGAAACUGGGGGACCUUCGGGCCUUACGCUAUUCGAGCGGCCGACGUCUGAUUAGCUAGUAGGUGAGGUAAAGGCUCACCUAGGCGACGAUCAGUAGCGGGUCUGAGAGGAUGAUCCGCCCCACUGGGACUGAGACACGGCCCAGACUCCUACGGGAGGCAGCAGUGGGGAAUUUUGGACAAUGAGCGAAAGCCUGAUCCAGCCAUGCCGCGUGUCUGAAGAAGGCCUUCGGGUUGUAAAGGACUUUUGUCAGGGAGGAAAUCCCUAGUGCUAAUAACACUGGGGGAUGACAGUACCUGAAGAAUAAGCACCGGCUAACUACGUGCCAGCAGCCGCCGCCG